UUAAGUUAUUAAGGGCGCACGGUGGAUGCCUUGGCACUAGAAGCCGAUGAAGGACGUUACUAACGACGAUAUGCUUUGGGGAGCUGUAAGUAAGCUUUGAUCCAGAGAUUUCCGAAUGGGGAAACCCAGCAUGAGUUAUGUCAUGUUAUCGAUAUGUGAAUACAUAGCAUAUCAGAAGGCACACCCGGAGAACUGAAACAUCUUAGUACCCGGAGGAAGAGAAAGAAAAUUCGAUUCCCUUAGUAGCGGCGAGCGAAACGGGAAGAGCCCAAACCAACAAGCUUGCUUGUUGGGGUUGUAGGACACUCUAUACGGAGUUACAAAGGACGACAUUAGACGAAUCAUCUGGAAAGAUGAAUCAAAGAAGGUAAUAAUCCUGUAGUCAAAAAUGUUGUCUCUCUUGAGUGGAUCCUGAGUACGACGGAGCACGUGAAAUUCCGUCGGAAUCUGGGAGGACCAUCUCCUAAGGCUAAAUACUCUCUAGUGACCGAUAGUGAACCAGUACCGUGAGGGAAAGGUGAAAAGCACCCCGGAAGGGGAGUGAAAUAGAACCUGAAACCGUGUGCUUACAAGUAGUCAGAGCCCGUUAAUGGGUGAUGGCGUGCCUUUUGUAGAAUGAACCGGCGAGUUACGAUUUGAUGCAAGGUUAAGCAGUAAAUGUGGAGCCGUAGCGAAAGCGAGUCUGAAUAGGGCGUUUAGUAUUUGGUCGUAGACCCGAAACCAGGUGAUCUACCCUUGGUCAGGUUGAAGUUCAGGUAACACUGAAUGGAGGACCGAACCGACUUACGUUGAAAAGUGAGCGGAUGAACUGAGGGUAGCGGAGAAAUUCCAAUCGAACCUGGAGAUAGCUGGUUCUCUCCGAAAUAGCUUUAGGGCUAGCCUCAAGUGAUGAUUAUUGGAGGUAGAGCACUGUUUGGACGAGGGGCCCCUCUCGGGUUACCGAAUUCAGACAAACUCCGAAUGCCAAUUAAUUUAACUUGGGAGUCAGAACAUGGGUGAUAAGGUCCGUGUUCGAAAGGGAAACAGCCCAGACCACCAGCUAAGGUCCCAAAAUAUAUGUUAAGUGGAAAAGGAUGUGGCGUUGCCCAGACAACUAGGAUGUUGGCUUAGAAGCAGCCAUCAUUUAAAGAGUGCGUAAUAGCUCACUAGUCGAGUGACACUGCGCCGAAAAUGUACCGGGGCUAAACAUGUUACCGAAGCUGUGGAUUGUCCUUUGGACAAUGGUAGGAGAGCGUUCUAAGGGCGUUGAAGCAUGAUCGUAAGGACAUGUGGAGCGCUUAGAAGUGAGAAUGCCGGUGUGAGUAGCGAAAGACGGGUGAGAAUCCCGUCCACCGAUUGACUAAGGUUUCCAGAGGAAGGCUCGUCCGCUCUGGGUUAGUCGGGUCCUAAGCUGAGGCCGACAGGCGUAGGCGAUGGAUAACAGGUUGAUAUUCCUGUACCACCUAUAAUCGUUUUAAUCGAUGGGGGGACGCAGUAGGAUAGGCGAAGCGUGCGAUUGGAUUGCACGUCUAAGCAGUAAGGCUGGGUAUUAGGCAAAUCCGGUACUCGUUAAGGCUGAGCUGUGAUGGGGAGAAGACAUUGUGUCUUCGAGUCGUUGAUUUCACACUGCCGAGAAAAGCCUCUAGAUAGAAAAUAGGUGCCCGUACCGCAAACCGACACAGGUAGUCAAGAUGAGAAUUCUAAGGUGAGCGAGCGAACUCUCGUUAAGGAACUCGGCAAAAUGACCCCGUAACUUCGGGAGAAGGGGUGCUCUUUAGGGUUAACGCCCAGAAGAGCCGCAGUGAAUAGGCCCAAGCGACUGUUUAUCAAAAACACAGGUCUCUGCUAAACCGUAAGGUGAUGUAUAGGGGCUGACGCCUGCCCGGUGCUGGAAGGUUAAGAGGAGUGGUUAGCUUCUGCGAAGCUACGAAUCGAAGCCCCAGUAAACGGCGGCCGUAACUAUAACGGUCCUAAGGUAGCGAAAUUCCUUGUCGGGUAAGUUCCGACCCGCACGAAAGGCGUAACGAUUUGGGCACUGUCUCAACGAGAGACUCGGUGAAAUCAUAGUACCUGUGAAGAUGCAGGUUACCCGCGACAGGACGGAAAGACCCCGUGGAGCUUUACUGUAGCCUGAUAUUGAAAUUCGGCACAGCUUGUACAGGAUAGGUAGGAGCCUUUGAAACGUGAGCGCUAGCUUACGUGGAGGCGCUGGUGGGAUACUACCCUAGCUGUGUUGGCUUUCUAACCCGCACCACUUAUCGUGGUGGGAGACAGUGUCAGGCGGGCAGUUUGACUGGGGCGGUCGCCUCCUAAAAGGUAACGGAGGCGCUCAAAGGUUCCCUCAGAAUGGUUGGAAAUCAUUCAUAGAGUGUAAAGGCAUAAGGGAGCUUGACUGCGAGACCUACAAGUCGAGCAGGGUCGAAAGACGGACUUAGUGAUCCGGUGGUUCCGCAUGGAAGGGCCAUCGCUCAACGGAUAAAAGCUACCCCGGGGAUAACAGGCUUAUCUCCCCCAAGAGUUCACAUCGACGGGGAGGUUUGGCACCUCGAUGUCGGCUCAUCGCAUCCUGGGGCUGUAGUCGGUCCCAAGGGUUGGGCUGUUCGCCCAUUAAAGCGGUACGCGAGCUGGGUUCAGAACGUCGUGAGACAGUUCGGUCCCUAUCCGUCGUGGGCGUAGGAAAUUUGAGAGGAGCUGUCCUUAGUACGAGAGGACCGGGAUGGACAUACCUCUGGUGUACCAGUUGUCGUGCCAACGGCAUAGCUGGGUAGCUAUGUGUGGACGGGAUAAGUGCUGAAAGCAUCUAAGCAUGAAGCCCCCCUCAAGAUGAGAUUUCCCAACUUCGGUUAUAAGAUCCCUCAAAGAUGAUGAGGUUAAUAGGUUCGAGGUGGAAGCAUGGUGACAUGUGGAGCUGACGAAUACUAAUCGAUCGAAGACUUAAUCAA
rnacentral:rRNA from 1 species